rnacentral:rRNA from 1 species
UACGUAGGGGGCUAGCGUUGUCCGGAAUCAUUGGGCGUAAAGAGCGUGUAGGCGGCUCGAUAAGUCCGCUGUGAAAGUCAAGGGCUCAACCCUGGGAUGCCGGUGGAUACUGUCGGGCUCGAGUCCGGAAGAGGCGAGUGGAAUUCCUGGUGUAGCGGUGAAAUGCGCAGAGUAUCAGGAGGAACACCGAUGGCGAAGGCAGCUCGCUGGGACGGUACUGACGCUGAGGCGCGAAAGCGUGGGGAGCGAACAGG